ACACAGGGAAGGAGGUGGUCCGAAAAAUUGAUUGAUUUAUGGACAUGUGAGGUGGCUGCCCGCUAGCAGCGCGGGGUGAAUUGCCUGCGCGCGCUGGCGAAUUCCCCGCAGCCACCCGGCCCCCGAGCCCCUCGGUCAGUCCAACCCUGGAACCAAGGCUCGGGGGCCGCUCCAU
rnacentral:sRNA from 1 species